AUGACGUCUGUCCCGAAACCACUCAAAUUCCUCCGUGCACACUACGGAACUCUCAAGGCUUGCUUUCAGAGAAUGCGGGAUCCUGCACAGAAGAAACAUAUGGCUGACAUUCUGUCAGUAUUGGCCUUGACAGCGUCUGCUGAAGGAGAAAGGGAAAGCCUGAAGUACUGUAUGAUGGGCUCUUUAGUUGAUAUAUGUUCAUGGGGUCAUGAAUACGUGAGAAACUUGGCUUUUGAAAUUGGAGAAGAAUGGAAGUUCAAUGACUCAUCAACGCCAAUUGAAUCCAAAAUAAAACUAGUGCUGGAAAUUGUCAAAUUUCACAUGAAGCAUAAUGCUGAAACUGAAGCUCUGGAUUUUUUGAUGAAGGUUGGAUACCUUGAGUUGCUUUCAGAUGAAAAAAAAGAAGAAUACAUUAUGAGGCUACUUCAUCUUGUUGACUCUACCAACUACAAAAGGGCAUGCUUGUAUUUGACUAGUUGUUCAAAAUACUUAUCUACACCCGACCAUAAGGCCACACUUGACAUUGCCUAUGACAUGUAUAUGAAGUUUAGGGAUCUUGGAAGUGCUUUAAGGAUUGUGCUUUUGGUCAACGACCACAAGUACUGUGGUCAGAAUGUGAAGAUGAAGAAGGUAUUUGCAGAAACUAAAGAUUUCUCACUGAAGCAGCAAUUUGCAUUUAUGAUAGCACGCUAUGGUUUAAGCAUGGAGAUUGAUGAUGAGAUGGUUGCAGAUGAAAAUGAGAAGAAUGCUUUGCAGGAAGUGGUUUAUAACACCAAACUGAGUAAGGGGUACCAUAUCCUUGCGCGGGAUAUUGGUGUCAUGGAGCCAAAAUCUCCAGAGGACAUAUAUAAGGUUCAUCUGAUUGGCAGCCGAGGUACCAAAAGCUCCAGCCUUGAUUCUGCAAGGCCGAAUUUGGCUGCAAUUUUUGUCAAUGCAUUUGUGAAUGCUGGUUAUUGCCAGGACAAACUCAUGACUGCAAUACCAGAUUCUUUGCUAUUCAAGAACAACGAACUUUGGAGAGCCAGUGUAGUAGCUAGUCUGGGAAUGAUACAUAUGUGGGAUCCUGAUUCAGGAUUUCCCAAACUUGACAAGUACCUGCACAGCAAUGAUACUAAUGUCGUUGCAGGAACUUUUUUAGGUAUAGGCAUUGUCUCUUCUGGUGUGAAGAAUUAUCGGGAUCAUGCACUUGCUCUUAUUUCUGAGUAUAGCAAGGGUGCAGCAUCAGUUACACGGAUCGGGGGAUUCUUGGGUCUUGGUAUUGCUUAUGCUGGGUCCCGGAAAGACGAGCUUAAAUCACAUUUCUCAAGUACCUUGAGUAACCCCCAAACACCUUUGGAGGACUUAGUGUUCUCUGCCAUCUCCUUGGGAUUGGUGUUUGUUGGUUCCUGCAAUGAAGAGAUUGCAGAGUCAAUCAUAUCUGUCUUGAAAAAUCACAGUAAAGAGCUUACAGAGCCCAUUAUUCAUCUACUUCCAGUUGCCCUUGGCCUUCUAUAUCUUGGAAAACAGGAGAUGGUAGUUGCUACUGCUGCUAAGGUUUCUGAAACAUUGGAAGAACCAUUAAAGAAGUACUGUGGCCUGACUCUUACGUCUUUGGCAUAUGCUGGGACAGGGAAUGUGCUUAAGGUUCAGGAGCUCCUUUGUAGUUGCUCAGAUAAACUUGUGAAAGGUGGAAGUGACCAAGGGCCAGCAGUCCUUGGAAUUGCUCUUAUUGCCAUGGCUGAAGGAUUAGGAGCUGAAAUGGCUGUACGGUCCCUCGAGCAGCUUUUACAGUAUGGUGAUUGUAGUAUUAGAAGAGCAGUUCCUCUUGCUCUUGGCAUGCUCUGCAUAUCCAAUCCAAAGGCGGUUGUUGUGGACACACUGAAUAGACUGAGCCAUGAUGCGGACGGUGCAGUGUCGAUGGCUGCAAUCAUCUCACUGGGCUUGAUAGGUGCUGGUACAAACAAUGCACGUAUAGCCGGAUUGCUUCGUAAGCUCUCAAGUCAGCAAUAUGGCGGUUAUCUGUAUUGUGUGAGGAUUGCACAGGGUCUUGUUCACCUUGGGAAGGGCUUGCUGACACUUGACCCAUGCCACUCUGACAGGCUACUUCUAUCUCCCGUAGCACUAGCUGGGCUUGCAACCGUUCUGUACGCAUGCCUUGACAUGCAACCCAUCAUCGUCGAAAAGUAUCCCUACAUGCUAUACAUCCUCGCCCUCGCUAUGCAGCCUAGGAUGUUACUGACUGUGGAUGAGGAUCUCAAGCCCCUACAUGUGCCUGUUCGUGUCGGCCAAGCAGUCGACGUGGUCGGUCAGGCGGGAAGUCCCAGGACCAUCACUGGCUUCCAGACGUACAACACGCCUGUAGUGCUUGCUGCAGGGGAGCAAGCUGAGCUAGCAACUGAAAAAUAUAUUCCGCUGACACCAGUUCUGGAGGGCUUUGUGAUCCUGAGGAAGAACCCAGAGCAUCAUGAAGAUUGA
rnacentral:rRNA from 1 species